rnacentral:rRNA from 1 species
AUGAUGAGUUGUAGUGACGGGCAUAAAACCAUUACAACACGCCCACAAGAUAGGACACUCCAACCUAUCAGGCUACCCACAAGCGCGCGCGCGCACACACAGCUUGUCAUACAAUGGACAUUGUUGAGAUUGCCUACAAUAUCAUCGUCAUCACCUCUCCCCGAGCAACCGACUCCGACUUCACCGUGGACGAGCUACCAAGAGCACACACAACUAGCAACAUGCAAGAACCCUCGUGGGCUAUGCCAAACAAUCAGCCGAACACUUCGAGGACCAAACAGCUCCGACUUCGGUCAGUCUCCUAGGAGAGAGAAGCACACCUUACAGCAACAUAGCCUGACUUGCCCAUCACAAAGCAUCGUUGCCGCCGCAUCGCCUCGUGACACUACUGCUCCAACUUCGUACUCAGAGGCAUGCCGAACGGUCGACCACGAGGACAUGCCAUGA